rnacentral:rRNA from 1 species
UACGUAGGGGGCAAGCGUUGUCCGGAAUCAUUGGGCGUAAAGCGCGUGUAGGCGGCUUCGUAAGUCCGUUGUGAAAGUCCAGGGCUCAACCCUGGAAUGCCGAUGGAUACUGCGGAGCUAGAGUACGGAAGAGGCGAGUGGAAUUCCUGGUGUAGCGGUGAAAUGCGCAGAUAUCAGGAGGAACACCAAUGGCGAAGGCAGCUCGCUGGGACGUUACUGACGCUGAGACGCGAAAGCGUGGGGAGCAAACAGG